UUGUUCUAUUUAGGGUUGUCCACGUGGACGUCUUCCAUGUAGUGACAGUAAUGUUAGCUGAAUGCUGUCAUCAGUUAACCUUUUUUUCAGGUAACAUUUGUGUUUAUGUACUUUUCUGAACAGAAAUCAAACUGUUCCAUGAGAAAAGGCUAGGAAUAGCCCUGGGUUUCAGGUGGCGAAUCGUGAUUCCCUGCGUGUAAUCUUCGAGCGUGAAAUGUCUGCUGCAAACAUAGCCAUGUCUGAUUUAGAGCCUAUAAUGUUUUGUUUUUAGUUUUAUUUUGAAACAAGUUGAAGUUCCGUUGGGCUGCUCUCAUGUAACUCACUAUAGCUUUGCCACAGUAGCUACCAAGGACUCAGCACUGAUAGAAGUUACAAACUUUUAAUUCCUUCUUAAGUUGCAUGCAGCCAACGAGUUUUCACGGUGGAUUUGGAGGACAAGCCUCGAAUAAACCUGUUACAAGAGAGCCACUUGUGUCUGCCUGUGCUUGGAGGGAAUUACAUGUACUGCCCUUUUUAAUCACAAACUUUGGUCCCUUAUCCCACCAGAUCGCCUGAAUCUAUUUCCGCCCAACCUCACUGUCCACAGGAAAAUAAAAAAAAAACAGAUACGGCUGCUUUUGGGCACAACAAGAGCAACCUGGAACACUAAAAAAAAACUCUUGUUCUUUGCUCGCGCUACAGCUGCCCUGAUAGGUGAGGAAGUAGAAUUCCGCAACAAUUGCGUGGUUACAUUUUCACAGUUUCAAUACACAAACUCACAAAUGCAUGCUUCAUUCAAGUGCUGUUGGAAAACUGGGACUCGUGGGCUUUUGAUAAGUUGGGCAUUGAAACGUGUCAAGAUAUUUUCUAAAGAGACUCCUAGAUAGAAUAGUAUCAUCCCUAGAAUGAAACACAUACAUUUUACAAACAGAUUGUAUACACUGGCCUAGAAAAGUGAAUAUGUGACACCUUUUAAGAUGGAUUCUAAUGUGCUACGUGUGAACUGAUACACUAGUUGUACCCUCUUAGAAACACAUGUUGACGCCACAUAUACACAGGACCUCGUGUGAUGCUACUUAGCUAACAUUACUUGUCAUUACUCUUGUGGUUCUAUAGAUGUAUUUAAAUGGAAUAAAAUGUUUAUGGAAGUGGUCUCAUUUAAUGUGGUUUGUGCCUUCUUUUAAAUAAAUUCAGAAAAUUUUGAUAAGAAGUCCAGUAAUGCACAGUAAUGAGACAAAACUAUUCCUCUGUCUAAUCCAUGGAAAAAAUACUACAGCAAGUCUAAGUGGAAAACAAAGUUCUCCAUGUCUUCCAGUUUGUUUACUGUAAUUGUGGCCAAAAGUUUUGACAGUGACACAAACUUUGUUUUGGGGUUUUAUAUACUUUUUUUGUGUGUCAUUGAGGCAAACUGAAGAACAAUUAUGAUUCAGUUAUUAAGAUUCAAAGACUUUCAAUGGCAAAUAAAUCACAUUUUUGCCAACUAUAAGUUUGUGUCUCUAUCAAAACUUUGAUCCA